CCCGCAUGUGCCGGUUUCUAUUACAAUCGCCAUAAAAUAAAUACCUUGAACGAGACCUGGAUAGUGAUCUGGACCUUCGCGAGAUGUUACAAUAAAAUUAAACUAAAGUGGAAAUGGAUGCGGUACAUGGCAAGAGGAACAGAAAAAUAGAGCAAAAAACUACUGAACCGGUGCCCAAGGUACACCAAACAUAAAAUAGGAAGACAAGUUAGAAAAUGAAUAGACCAAAAGAAAGAAACAGCAGGUACAUGGCAGAGAGUGGCACAAUGGAGAGAGAAAUUUGGAUGAGGCCUUUUCCAUUGAAGGACACACAGAUACAGUUAAAUACGAUUGAAAUAGAAACGUGUUAAAAUGUAAA